UAUUACCAUGUUAUUAUGGAUAGUAUAGACUGAGUCUCCUUGAAAGUAAUGGCAUGUGAUUGCUUACCCCAUUACUUUCAAUGGGACUAAGUCUAUGUCAUCCUUAGGGACUCAAUCCCAUU
rnacentral:precursor_RNA from 19 species